AGAGUUUGAUCCUGGCUCAGGAUGAACGCUGGCGGCGUGCUUAACACAUGCAAGUCGAACGGUGAAAGAGAGCUUGCUCUCUGGAUCAGUGGCGAACGGGUGAGUAACACGUGAGCAAUCUGCCCUUGACUCUGGGAUAAGCGUUGGAAACGACGUCUAAUACCGGAUACGAGCUGCGAAGGCAUCUUCAGCAGCUGGAAAGAACUUCGGUCAAGGAUGAGCUCGCGGCCUAUCAGCUAGUUGGUGAGGUAAUGGCUCACCAAGGCGUCGACGGGUAGCCGGCCUGAGAGGGUGACCGGCCACACUGGGACUGAGACACGGCCCAGACUCCUACGGGAGGCAGCAGUGGGAAUAUUGCACAAUGGGCGCAAGCCUGAUGUAGCAACGCCGCGUGAGGGACGACGGCCUUCGGGUUGUAAACCUCUUUUAGCAAGGAAGAAGCGAAAGUGACGGUACUUGCAGAAAAAGCGCCGGCUAACUACGUGCCAGCAGCCGCGGUAAUAC
rnacentral:rRNA from 1 species